GUCACGCGGGGACGCGCUCUUCCGGCCGCGCUCCCCGCCCGGCGUCCGCCGCCGCGAUGCUCCGCGGAGUCCCGGCCGUCCUGCCGCUCCGCCCCGCCGCGCGCUGUGCGGUGGUUCCGGGCGGCCCGGCCCCGGCCAGAGUACUGGGCAGAGGUGUUUCUCUAGCAACACAGUCAGUAACAAUUCAUUGCCAACACGUGUGCAAGCCUGUGCCUGUGAGCACUGCAUGUGCACAGCCGGCCAGUAGAUCAGGGUCAGG